UAAACUAGGAAUUAGAUACCCUAUUAUUUUAGUUGUAAAAUUUUCACUAAAUUACUAAUAGUUUUGUUCUUUAAAUUUAAAGAAUUUGGCGGUAAUUUAUCUUUUCAGAGGAGCCUGCCCUUUAAUUGAUAAUCCACAAUUAAUUUUACUUUUGUUUUUACUUAUAUACCUCUAUCAUUGAAUAUCUUUAAAAAGUAAAAUUUUCUAAUAGAUUUGUUAAUCUUAAUGUUAGGUCAAGGUUUAGUAAUACAUUAGUUUGAGGUGGGCUACAUUAUUUAUAUAUGAGGGGAAAAUUAUGUGAUAAUUUUUGAAUAUGGAUUUGAUAGUAAAUUCUUUUAUCUAAGAGUUUUGAUUUUGUAAUAAAUUAAGCACACAUCGCCCGUCGCUCUUA
rnacentral:rRNA from 1 species